UACGGAGGGUGCGAGCGUUGUCCGGAAUCACUGGGCGUAAAGGGCGCGUAGGCGGCCCUGGCAGUCGGUGGUGAAAACCCGCGGCUCAACCGCGGGCCUGCAGCCGAUACGGGCAGGCUAGAGUUCGGUAGGGGAGACUGGAAUUCCUGGUGUAGCGGUGAAAUGCGCAGAUAUCAGGAGGAACACCGAUGGCGAAGGCAGGUCUCUGGGCCGAUACUGACGCUGAGGAGCGAAAGCGUGGGGAGCGAACAGG
rnacentral:rRNA from 1 species